CAGCCGCCGCGGUAAUACGUAGGGCGCAAGCGUUAUCCGGAAUUAUUGGGCGUAAAGAGCUCGUAGGCGGUUUGUCGCGUCUGCCGUGAAAGUCCGGGGCUCAACCCCGGAUCUGCGGUGGGUACGGGCAGACUAGAGUGAUGUAGGGGAGACUGGAAUUCCUGGUGUAGCGGUGAAAUGCGCAGAUAUCAGGAGGAACACCGAUGGCGAAGGCAGGUCUCUGGGCAUUAACUGACGCUGAGGAGCGAAAGCAUGGGGAGCGAACAGGAUUAGAUACCCCUGUAGUCCCUGUCUCUUAUAA
rnacentral:rRNA from 1 species